GGAGAUGGGUCAUAGCUCACUGGUAGAGCAUCUCCUUUGCAUGCAGAUGAUCUCAGGUCCAAUGCCUGGCAUCUCAA